rnacentral:rRNA from 1 species
GUGCCAGCAGCCGCGGUAAUACGUAGGUGGCAAGCGUUGUCCGGAUUUAUUGGGCGUAAAGAGCGCGCAGGCGGUCCGUUAAGUCCGAGGUGAAAUCUCCCGGCUCAACUGGGAGGGGUCUUCGGAUACUGGCGGACUUGAGGAGAGCAGAGGUGAGUGGAAUUCUGGGUGUAGUGGUGAAAUGCGUAGAUAUCCAGAGGAACACCAGCGGCGAAGGCGGCUCACUGGGCUCCACCUGACGCUGAGGCGCGAAAGCGUGGGGAGCGAACCGGAUUAGAUACCCUGGUAGUCC